AGUACAUUGUUUCCUGGGUAUAUUAGUUAUGGUCUUUAAACCCAAAGAAUUUGGCGGUACCUUAUUCCAUUCAGAGGAACCUACCCUAUAAUUGAUAGUACACGAUUAGCUUUACUUAAUUUAUUUGUUUGUAUAUCUCCGUUAUCAGAAGAUCUUUUUAGAGUUAUAAUUUUCUUGAAUUAUAAAUAUAAUUUAUUUCAGGUCAAGGUGCAGCUUAUGAUUAAGAAGAGGUGGGUUACAAUAGAUUGUUGUUUAUAAUGGAUUUAAUUUUUAAAAUUUUGAUGAAGGUGGAUUUGAUAGUAAUUUAAUUUAUUAAUUAAUAAGAUCGCAACGACCCG
rnacentral:rRNA from 1 species